rnacentral:lncRNA from 1 species
AGACUGCUGUGCUAGCAAUCAGGGAGAUUCCGUGGGCGUAGGACCCUCCAAGCCAGGUGUGGGAUAUAGUCUAGUGGUGCGCCGUUUUUUAAGCCUGUCGGAAAAGCGCAGUAUUCUGGUGGGAGUGACCCGAUUUUCCAGGUGCCGUCCGUCACCCCUUUCUUUGACUAGGAAAGGGAACUCCGUGACCCCUUGCGCUUCCUGAGUGAGGCAAUGCCUCGCCCUGCUUCGGCUCUCGCACGGUGCGCGCUCCCACUGACCUGCGCCCACUGUCUGGCACUCCCUAGUGAGAUGAACCCGGUACCUCAGAUGGAAAUGCUGAAAUCACCCGUCUUCUGCGUCGCUCAGGCUGGGAGCUGUAGACCGGAGCUGUUCCUAUUCGGCCAUCUUGUCUCCUCCCCCCAGCCCACAACAGCCUAUGAAGAAUAACUAGAGGUCUUCAUAUCAGAGGCAGAAGGUACUGCAAGCUUACUUUCCAACGUGGCUGCAUCGUUUCACAUUCCCACCAGCAGUAUGAGGUUUCCAAUUUCUCUGCAUCCUCAUCAAAACUUGUUAUUAUCUGUCUUUUUUAUUUUAGACGUUCUAGAAGGUGUGGAGUGGUAUCUCAUUGUGGUAUUGAUUUGCAUUUCCUUAAGGACUAAUGCUUUUGAACAUUUUUUCAUGUGCUUAUUGGCCAUUUGUAUAUCUUCUCUGGAGAAAUGUUUAUUCAAAUCCUUUGUCCAUUUUUUAAUUGGAUUGUCUUUUUAUUGUUGCAUGGUAUAAGUUCUCUAUAUAUUCUGGACACAAGUCUCUUAUUAGUUAUACCAUUUGCAAAUAUUUUCUCCCAUUCUGUGCGUUGUCUUUUAACCUUUCUAAUGUGUCCAUUGAAACACAAAAGUUUUUAAUUUUCACAAAGUUCAAUUUAUCUACUUUUUUCUUUUGUCACUUAUUUGUAUCAUAUCUGAGAAACCAUUACCUAAUCCAAGGUCAGGAAGGAUUACUCCUAUGUUCUCUUUUGAGAGUUUUAUUGUUUUUACUCUUAUAUUUAAGUUGAAUAUCCAUUUUGAGUUAGUUAAUUUUUGUAUAUAGUAUGACAUAGGAUCGAGAGGAUCUUGUUAAUCACUUUUUCCUGAUAUACAUCAGCUUCAAAUGUGAAGCUAUAAAUCUCCCUGUAGGUUUCCUGAAAGCCCUCAUUAUAUAAAGCAACUUCUGUGACAAAUUUGACUUGAUUAAUUAAUUAAUUAGAGACACAGUCUUGCUCUGUCCCCCAGACUGGAGUGCAGUGGUGCCAUCUUGGAUCACAGCAACCUUCAACUCUCAGGUUCAAGCAAUUCUAGUGCCUCAGCUUCCCAAGUAGCUAGGAUCACAGGUGUGCACCAGCAUGCCUGGCUACUUUUUGUAUUUUUAGUAGAGGCAUGUUUUUGCCAUGUUAGCCAGACUGGUCUCUAACUCCUGGCCUCAAGUCUUCCCCUGCCUUGGCCAACCAAAGUGCUGGGAUUACUGGUGUGAACCACCGUGCCUAGUCAUGAUAAUUUAUUGAGUGGAGUUCUGUUCAAGAUGAUGGAGGGCUAACAGCAGCAAAAGCCAGGCUCACUGGCUCUUGCCUGUAAUCCUAGCACUUUGGGAGGCCUAGUUGGUUAGGUAGAUCACCUGAGCUCAGGAGUUCGAGACCAGCCUAGCCAACAUGGCGAAACCCUGUCUCUACUAAAAAUACAAAAAUUAGCCGGGCAUAGUGGUGGAUGCUAAUAAUCCCAGCUACUCUGGAGGCUGAGACAGGAGAAUUGCUUGAACCUGGGGGCGGAGGUUGCAGUGAGCUGAGAUUGCGCCACUUCACUUCAGCCUGAGUGACAGAGUGAAAUUCCAUCUUAAAAGAAAAAAAAAAAAAAAAGGAAAGAAAGCAGCAAAGAGAAUUUUUUGGCAAGAUUAUGAGCCAAUUUUAAGAGCUUUUAUUACAUUUCAAAUGUGAUUUUAAAUUCUCAAAGUUGGACAGAUAGCAGGGAAAGAAUGGUCACAGACUUUUCCCUAAUAUUUUAAGUUGCUUCAAACCAGUUAUUAAAUCUUAUAUGUAUUUUUUAAAGACUUAUUCCACAGGGGUUUGAUUAAUUUACACAGACUUCUUCCAAAACUGUAUCUAAACCACAUUGUUGAUAUCUAAGAAACUCUAUGAGCUUCUUCAAAAGCCCUCUUAAAAAUACAACAAAAUCAUGUUAGCAACUCCAGAUUCCAAGUUGAAAUCCUCCCGCUUUAGUAUAAGAACCAUCAGUUUUGAAUGAGUCUGGAUACGAAAACCUAUUUUCCCAUUUUGAGGAGAAAAUCCCUUUUUAGAGACUCUUUCUUGAAUGGAUAUUUGUUAUAACAUAUUUGGGCUUAGGGCUAAAACCUUUGGUUUGUAAGCUGAGGUUUUCAUUUGCACUUACCAUCAACAGCGUAUAAGUUGAAAAGAAUCUCAGGUCUGGUUGCUGUCCUGAGCUACUGCAAAGAAGAAACCACUGAGAAUAAGAGCAUUUCAAUUAUUGUACAUCACAUUUGCUAUUUGCUGCCGUUAUUCUUCUAUUAAAGGAGGAUAAUCAACUGAUAUGAUAUUGUAGAUCUCAGUGCCUAGUGCAUUGUAGGUCCUCAAUAUAUGUUGAUUCUUCUUUUCUUUACAUAUUUUUGAGGUACAGAAAGAAGUUCUUAAAAUGGUUUUUAACUGUAAUCAUUUUGGAAAAUUAGCUAUGAAGAUGGAAAUUUGUGAACAAAGGAGAACUUGCAAAUGCCAUUUUACUGAGCAUGUUACUGAAUGGUUAUAUAAGGAGUAAAUAUUCUCUCAGCCUUAGUAAGUAAAUAUGAACCAAUAAGAACACAGGUGAGGACUCUUUUCCUAACCAGAAUAGAUGGCUAAGGUUUACAGGGCAAUAAAUUAGACUAUUUGUAUCCAAAGCAAUAUUGUUGUCACCACCAAUUGUAAUAAGCAUUUUUAUAAUUUAUGCCUUUAAUGUGUUUAUUAUGAAAAAGCUUCUAAGUAUAUUGCACAAGUGGUAAUCUGCUCCAGAACUGGAAAUUUGGGAGACUUGGUUUUUGGACUCAGCCUAUUCACUAUUAUUUGGUUGAUAGGUUUAUUAUUAUUAUUAUUAUUAUUUUUUAAAGGCCUGAGACAGUAGAGACUUUCUAAUAAAAUAUGCUGCAGUGAUGAAAAU